GGGGUCUGUCAGAGCUUGACAAUGCAGACCAGGAGGGUAAAAUUCCCCAUUGUGCAGUUAGUGGCAGCGCUUGUUAAAGUAGAGUGACUGCCAGAUUGUGUCGCGCCAACUUUCCAGCUCAUGGGAUAUGGUGAACGAGUUUUUAUCUCCCCCAAACAGACACAUCCGACUGCCUCCUGAGGGCUUUUAUGAAGAGAAUGUGAGUCAGUGGGGAAGAUGGCCUCAGGCAAGCAUUUGGGCGAUGGUGUCCUGGUGACAGACCCCUCUCUCCUGUGGAAUGAAGCUUGUCAGAAGACAUCAGCGUGAUUCUCCUCAAGAGAACAUACUGGCCCAAUCUGCAUCACUAGCUGGGGUGGAUGGCUGCCUGUGUCUCGAAUCGUCCUUUGCACAGAGGAAGUGUGCUGUGACAGAGCCGCGCGGAUUUCUAAUCUUGUCUGUGCAUAUAUCCUCGCCUUAUCUGGAACCUGCCUUCUCCUGCCAAAAACACUGAACCUUUACGAUUAGAACCGGCCCUCUGUGGAACUAUCCGUGGCCGUGCUGAUAGAGCCGCUGUUGGGUUUUGAAAAAAGAUGCCGUUCAUUUUAAAGUGCCAGUCUGCUAAAGCUGUCAGACUGAAAAGGUUUGGGUAAUUUUAGAGGUGUCAGACUCAAUUUCAUAACAUUGUCACUGAUGCGUAUUUUCAGAGUGCUCCUCUAUCUUUUCACACUCCUGGCUGAUUUGGAAUAAAAAAUAUAUUUUCCCUCA
ensembl:lncRNA